UACGAAGGGGGCUAGCGUUGCUCGGAAUGACUGGGCGUAAAGGGCGCGUAGGCGGAUGGCUUUGUCAGACGUGAAAUUCCAGGGCUUAACCUUGGGGCUGCGUUUGAGACGGGUUGUCUUGAGUUCGGAAGAGGGUCGUGGAAUUCCCAGUGUAGAGGUGAAAUUCGUAGAUAUUGGGAAGAACACCGGUGGCGAAGGCAGCGACCUGGUCCGAGACUGACGCUGAGGCGCGAAAGCGUGGGGAGCAAACAGG
rnacentral:misc_RNA from 1 species